UGUGGGAGCGGGCUUGCCCGCGAUGACUGAGUCACAUCCAACAUCGAUGUCGACUGAUACUCCGCCAUCGCGGGCAAGCCCGCUCCCACA
rnacentral:misc_RNA from 1 species